UACGUAGGGGGCAAGCGUUGUCCGGAUUUAUUGGGCGUAAAGAGCGUGUAGGCGGCCUGAAAGGUCAGCUGUGAAAACUCGAGGCUCAACCUCGAGACGUCGGUUGAAACCAUCUGGCUAGAGUCCGGAAGAGGAGUGUGGAAUUCCCGGUGUAGCGGUGAAAUGCGCAGAUAUCGGGAGGAACACCAAUGGCGAAGGCAGCUCGCUGGGACGUUACUGACACUGAGGCGCGAAAGCGUGGGGAGCGAACAGG
rnacentral:rRNA from 1 species